CGCCCCUACGAGCACGUUCCUGAAACCACUCUUAAAGGGAACGCGACUGGUUCAGGAGUCCCCAGAGUCCUCAGGUCCCAGAAACCUGAGGAUUUGAACCUGGAAAACUCAAUGCAGUUCCAAAGAACAGUGAGGCCCAGAGGGCAGGAGUCUUGCUGGAGGUCAAGUGGCAGAGCCAGGACAGAAUCCCAGGCAUGGAAAAAACCCGUUGACCUUUGUUGAUGUCAGCCGUGGCUGUGCCUGUGAACGGCGUGGCUCUGGUGGCUGAUCCGGAGCCGGGCUGAGCUCGGCAGGCGUCGGUGCGGUGCCCGCCCUCCAGGCUCUGCACCGUAGGAAGGAAGGGCGUUCGGACCCGCUGGUUUCCGGAGCCUCCGGGGCGUCGUGGGAACCGAGGGACCCGCCGGCCACGACCUGCGCUGGAAGCCCUUUUGCCUUUCUAAGGAAAAACCCAAAGUGAGAAGUCUUGGGACCAAGGAGAACACCGAAGAAGAGCCUGGGCUCUCGUGGGGCCGCUGAGCGAGAAGCGAGGAAGGAAGCCGGGUCGGGCCUCAGAGAAAUCUGGCAGGCAGGGAGGCUUGAACUGUGAUUAAAAAGGGGAAGAACCGCAAGUCCCCGUUUAAGUCAGCAGAGCUGCUGUCUGGGCAGCGAGAGGGAAAGUGCUUGUGGCUGGCAGGUUUCUCAGCCAGUUGGCAGAAGCUGAGUACCUGGCUGCUGCAUCUGUGCCACCUGGCGUGGGGUGCUGCCCUCGGCCUUGGUCUCCCCAAGAGUAACGGAGAAUUAAUAACGGGGUGCCAGUUUAGACUUUCUUGAUAUCUUCCCCCCUUGUCGCACAAAGUCAGAUGUGCGAACGUCACAAGGACACUUCUUAAUGGGGGUGUCAGCUCCACACUUGGCA